rnacentral:rRNA from 1 species
CAGACCGGGGUGCCGUGGCGAUAAGAGUAGGAGCAGGAGCAGAGUCGGCGAGUGGCGAUUGGAGGUUGGAAUAGCAAAGUCGUCAAUAGCAGGAGAAGAGAGGGGGUAGGGGCUAAGGAAAGGAUAGAAGAGAGGGGUAGAGAGACUUUGAUGGUGCGUCGUGGGAGGGAGGGAGUUGCCGGCGACGACAACGAUCGGGGGGAGGGUGGCACGUCGCGUCGCGCUAGGUCUCGUCUAGCUCCGGUGGUUGUUCGGAGGCAGGAGGAGGCGAGUCGUGGGCUAGGUGGAGGGCACAGUACGUGCCUCGUACGUCCCUCGGACCGCCGACCUCAAGCGGCCGGCAACCGCGGGAGGAGGGGAUGCUGGCCGUGUAGGUGGGAGAUCGAGUGGAGGAGCGCGACUACCGGCCGAGCGGUGGCCGCUCGUCGUGGUUGUCGUCCUGGCGGCGGCGUGGAGUGGCGAGAGAAGAGAGAGGGAGACCGGAAGGUAGAGGAAAGAGGGCAGGAGGGAAAAGAGAGGGCGAGUAGAGAGUGAAGAGAGCGUCCGUGGGUUGCGUACCGCACGGAGCGGGGUAAGGACCCGAGCCCGCCGCGUAUGCGGGCGGCGCUGCGUAGAGGACGGAACCGAAGACGCCUCAGUCGCGGCCGCCGUUCGCCGCCCCGUAAGUGCCGCCAAGUCACCUCCGUCCCACAAAAAACGUUUUUUGCUUUGCAAUAGGUCUAAAUUCAUCCUGGUACCCAAUUAAGGAUUCUUUGUCCCCCUGAAAAAACGUUUUACUGGUUACUGCCUGCUCGUCUUCGCUAGCGACCAAAUAAUUCAACCUCGGAAAACUCCUUUAAUAAGUAAAGUAGAUGUUCCUGUACAAAAAGUUAUUCUGACUAGGUGUUUCCAAUGAACUAUAACACCAGUGACGACUAUUCAAACUCCACUAACCUCGUUAGUUCGUGACAUUUUGAGACUACGACGUCAGGGGCGACUGAGAACUUUAACGGGAAGAAAUAAACCUCAAGUGAAGACUCUUCCAUCUUGACUUACUUUAAGAACCAGGACAAGUAUGACGAACACGACUAAAACACCGGUUAUGUAUGUUUCUAGACAAUUCAGUACUCCUUCGGCACGAGGUCAACGCCGAGAGGCGAUACUAAAGGUAGAAAUUCUCGUCACGAGAAUAAGAAGGGUUGCUUCUGAUACGUAAAUGGAAAAACGACUUUACCGACCUCUUUCUCAUGAGACUAUUCCUUCUCUCUUUCCUACACAAAGUCUCUUAGCACCAAAGAGAAUAGGCCAAGUGCGUGGACAGACUUCUUCGAGACGAACUAAAAUGGAGAACAUUAGAUCAAAGCUCAGGACAACUGCGCUAGUUAUAACAUAGAUUACGUUACGUAAAGUUCCGAUGAAGUAGAGCUUCUUAACGAAUGACCUCCAUACUCGUCGCACUAAUAGAACACUCCGGGCAGAGUAAUAGAAUAGAAUACGGUCGAGGUGUAGGACUCCAACACCGUAUGUACCUAUAUAGUGACCCAGCGACGAGAUCCUACUGAAGAGGACCCUUUUGUUUACGAAUGAGACUUCGAAAACGGAAACCACCUAACUGGGAUUUGUACCAGCGAUGCACAAACUGCGACUAUGAUUAUGAGGGUUAAGUGAACCAAACAAAAAUACACGGGUUUGGCUCGUCGGUCGGUAGGACUCACAGUGUAAGAGACACUCCUGUGUGCUGGUUUACCCCGCAUACAACUGACAUAGAGCAAACUUGUGUGUAAAUGUUGUCCGUAGGGGAAACCUCAUUUACUAGACAUAGACUGGGUUACCCUACUUAACUACCUGGGGUUGACAUAAAAACAGUAAUUUCCGGUAAACGUGUAAUCUUACGCGUAAAGACGAGAGGUCGGUAUCCCAAGUCCAUUCCUCCAGAGGUCGUAGUCAGAAGUCCGGUUCAUCGAGCAGGUACAAAAUCGCACAGGAAGUCUGGACUGGACACCAUUAGACAGACACUAAGACUACUGACAAUUCAGACCUUCGGUUCCUCGAAACGUAUAGUACAACAAAUCGGACGGGAAGUCUGGACUGGACACCAUUAGACAGACACUAAGACUACUCAAUUCAAACCUUCAAAAUCGGACAGGAAGUCUGGACUGGACACCAUUAGACAGAACGUUCCUCGACCAGAACGUAUAGUACAACAAAUCGGACAGGAAGUCUGGACUGGACACCAUUAGACAGACACUAAGACUACUCAAUUCAAACCUUCAAAAUCUUGAAAGAUACGAUUCAUACCAGUCAUCAUACUACUUGUCUCGUGAUCUACGGGAUUAGAUGAGGAUACGAUUCACAGAAGUUCUAGUACAAAAAAACCUAUACAAUAAGCACAUGGGUAUCGUAGGAAUUGUAACACGCUGCUUCAUCAUUAUUUUGUCCUCUUGCUGGAGACAUCCUCUUUCCACCCCACCCCUCUUACCUAAACACUUUCCUCCCCAACUUUUGGUAUCUUCUUAGGG